GACGAACGCUGGCGGCGUGCCUAAUACAUGCAAGUCGAACGCAGUGGGGACUGGUGAGUAACACGUGGGUAACCUCCCAUCAGAGGGGAUAACACUUGGAAACAGGUGCUAAACCGAUACUGAUGGAUGGACCCGGGGGGCAUUCGCUAGUUGGUGGGGAAACGGCUCACCAAGGCGACGAUGGAUAGCCGACCUGAGAGGGGGAACGGCCACACUGGGACUGAGACACGGCCCAGACUCCUACGGGAGGCAGCAGUAGGGAAUAUUCGGCAAUGGACGAAAGUCUGACCGAGCAACGCCGCGUGUGUGAAGAAGGUUUUCGGAUCGUAAAACUCUGUUGGUAGAGAAGCGGUAUCUAACCAGAAAGCCACGGCUAACUACGUGCCAGCAGCCGCGGUAAUAC
rnacentral:rRNA from 1 species